ensembl:scaRNA
UCGCAGCCUUGUGACGCUGCCCCUGGCAGACGCUGUUGCUUGUGGGUGCAACAAGGCUGCAAAAACCAACUCAAAGAAUGAAAAGGCGUGACUUCUAGAGACUCCUGGAGAUUCACGUGCGAUGUUCUUUGCACACACUCCUGCUUUCCACGGUGGUGACGGUCCAGUUCAGUAACUGUCACUAUUCUUAAAGCAGGUAGAGUAAAACAUGGCAGCCAGAUAUUGUUUGAAACAGGAGGAGCUUUUCCUGUCAGGCACUGUCAGCUGUCACAGUA